rnacentral:tRNA from 1 species
CGCGGGGUGGAGCAGCUCGGCAGCUCGCUGGGCUCAUAACCCAGAGGUCCAUGGUUCAAAUCCAUGCCCCGCUACCA